GUGCGUGCGCGUGCCCGGUGCGUGCGUGCGGCUGCGGGAGCGCUCCUGGCGCUGCAGCUUUGACUCUCUGGGUCCUUCGUUCCCUCCGCGUCUCUUCCUCCGCAGGGAAGCCCGCGCCAGUCCCCGGUGUCACGUCAGGAUUUCCCAGGUGGCCGCGCGCCACUGUCAGAGGCCUCGGUGGGAGACGGCCAGGACAGGUUCCCUCCCCUUCACUAUAAGCCCUCACUGAUGCAAAUGACGGAGCCGCGCAGUAUUGCUCCUAAGUUACACGCGGUGCCUGCAGUCUCGGCGGCGGGGCCUCUGGGGAACCGUUUCCGUUUUCAAAACACUGUCCCGAGGAGGAGGCAGCCUUUCCCCAAGCGCAGGCCUCAAUUUCCUCAUCUGUAAAAGGAAGGAGGCUGGACUGGAUGAUCUCUUAAGAUCCUUUUAGCUCUGGGAUUCUUCAACUCUGUGGAUUUACUGAACUCCUAUUGUGCUGCCCAGGCUUGGGAUAGAUUGUGUGGGAGUAAACUGAUUUCAAGAACCUUGUUUGGGAGAUAAGAUUGACACAGAUGAAAAAACAACAAAAA